rnacentral:snRNA from 1 species
AUGCUCACUUUGGCUGCACACAUAUCAAAAUUAGAAUGAUAUGGAGAAGAUUAGCAUGGCCCCUGCACAAGGAUGCCAUGCAAAUUCAUGAAGUGUUCCAUAUUUUU